rnacentral:rRNA from 1 species
AGAGGGUGCAAGCGUUAAUCGGACUUACUGGGCGUAAAGGGUGCGUAGGUGGAUGGCUAAGUUGGUGGUGAAAGCCCUGGGCUCAACCUAGGAAUUGCCACCAAAACUGAUUGUCUAGAGUAUGGUAGAGGGAAGUGGAAUUUCCGGUGUAGCGGUGAAAUGCGUAGAGAUCGGAAGGAACAUCAGUGGCGAAGGCGACUUCCUGGCCCAAUACUGACACUGAGGCACGAAAGCGUGGGUAGCAAACAGGGAUUAGAUACCCUGGUAGUCCACGCCGUAAACGAUGAGUACUAGAUGUUGGAUAGGUUACUAUUCGGUAUCGCAGCCAACGCAAUAAGUACUCCGCCUGGGGAUUACGGCCGCAAGGCUA